rnacentral:rRNA from 1 species
AACGAACGCUGGCGGCAGGCUUAACACAUGCAAGUCGAGCGCCCCGCAAGGGGAGCGGCAGACGGGUGAGUAACGCGUGGGAACGUACCUUUUGGUUCGGAACAACUCCGGGAAACUGGAGCUAAUACCGGAUAAGCCCUAACGGGGAAAGAUUUAUCGCCGAAAGAUCGGCCCGCGUCUGAUUAGCUAGUUGGUGAGGUAACGGCUCACCAAGGCGACGAUCAGUAGCUGGUCUGAGAGGAUGAUCAGCCACACUGGGACUGAGACAUGGCCCAGACUCCUACGGGAGGCAGCAGUGGGGAAUAUUGGACAAUGGGCGCAAGCCUGAUCCAGCCAUGCCGCGUGAGUGAUGAAGGCCUUAGGGUUGUAAAGCUCUUUUGUCCGGGAAGAUAAUGACUGUACCGGAAGAAUAAGCCCCGGCUAACUUCGUG